UCUCCUCCUUUUCUUAUCCUCUCUCUUACUUUUUUUUUUCUCUUAUUUCAUUAUUAAAAGGGUGAGAAUCUCUUCCUCAUACCUCCACUGUGCCUGUUCUUAUGGUUUUAGUUUAGUAACUACUAAAGUAGAUUUCAUUCAAGCCCAUAAAAGGUCAACUUACAUGAGAAGCAAGCUAAAUACAAAAGACAUCGGAUGAAAUUCAAGCCCAUGCCCACAUAGUUUACAAUAAACCUAACUAAAAUACGUUUGCUUGGUCGAGAGGAAGUGACACGCGUAGGUUUGAGAUGAAUACACAACACGGGUAUCUCUACAUGCGUCCUUCAUGCAUUGAUCUGCGCCACCACCGUCUGAACUUCAGCUCCGACCUCCGAAGAUUUGCUCCGCCGUGUGCAUCAUCCAAUCAACUUUCCAAUUUGCAGGCUUCGUGAGCAUCAAAGAUUAUCGACGAACUUUGCAGCUUCUUCUCUGGACCUUUUGCUCAAACCGCGACCAAUCAAUCGGAGGGACACUUACUUUACUGCAAAUAAAACCAGAGGAAGCUUAUAACCCGUUGAAGAAGAUUCUUUGUUGGACCGUAAUGAAACACCAACUCUCCUGAGUCUGCUUCAGAGAGGCCAAAGAAACCCAUCAAACUCAACCAUCCUUGUCGGAGAAGCUUUACAACGCCACAUCAAUGGCUAGCUAUAAGAGUAAAGACUGAUUCUCCUAAAAGGAGGUUCGGUUGAAGCUAGAGCCGUAAAAUGGGUGGGCUGUCCAAUGGGUGUUUAUGUCUAAAUAUAUUUGGGCUUCCAUUAGUUAUACCCAUAUUUCUAGAUUGGAUUUAAAUGGUCAAAAUUGGGAAACUAAUUAAUCUAUGGUUAUUUGUGGAUUUGGUUAAAAUAGACAUGGGCGGCCCAAUUUAAAAAAAUUUC
rnacentral:lncRNA from 1 species